UUCACCAUGUUUCCUGUCGCUCUGUUGCUGCUGCUGGCAGCUGCAUUUACAGGUGUGAAGUGUGAACAGCUGACACAGCCAGACUCUGUGACUGUGCAGCCAGGUCAGCGUCUGACCCUCACCUGUCACGUCUCUUAUUCGGUGGUUCCAGGUGGGUACUGGACAGCUUGGAUCAGACAACGUGCAGGGAAAGGACUGGAGUGGAUCGGGAUGAGAUACACUGAAGGCUCUCGCUACAAAGAUUCACUGAAGAGCAAAUUCACCAUUGAUGUUGAUGCUUCCAGCAAAACAGUGACUCUAAACGGACAGAACCUGCAGCCUGAAGACUCUGCUGUUUAUUACUGUGCCAGAUACACACAGUGACACAAAGCAUCAGUGGAGCUGAACAAAAACCCCUCAGAGCCUCAGUCACAUGAAGACACCAGAGGAGGAGCUCACAGACCAGGAAUGACUUUAACAGUGUUUAAAAACAUCGGGAUUUUAAACUGAAAUGAACUAGAACAUAUUUUAGCGGAGGUAUUUGAUGAAGAUGAU